rnacentral:tRNA from 1 species
UGGGGCGUCGCCAAGCUGGUAAGGCACAAGAUUUUGGAUCUUGCAUUCCCUGGUUCGAGUCCAGGCGCCCCAGCCA